AGUGAACGCUGGCGGUAGGCCUAACACAUGCAAGUCGAGCGGCAGCACAGUAAGAGCUUGCUCUUACGGGUGGCGAGUGGCGGACGGGUGAGGAAUACAUCGGAAUCUACUUUUUCGUGGGGGAUAACGUAGGGAAACUUACGCUAAUACCGCAUACGACCUACGGGUGAAAGCAGGGGAGCUUCGGACCUUGCGCGAUUGAAUGAGCCGAUGUCGGAUUAGCUAGUUGGCGGGGUAAAGGCCCACCAAGGCGACGAUCCGUAGCUGGUCUGAGAGGAUGAUCAGCCACACUGGAACUGAGACACGGUCCAGACUCCUACGGGAGGCAGCAGUGGGGAAUAUUGGACAAAGGGCGCAAGCCUGAUCCAGCCAUACCGCGUGGGUGAAGAAGGCCUUCGGGUUGUAAAGCCCUUUUGUUGGGAAAGAAAAGCAGCAGGUUAAUACCCCGCUGUUCUGACGGUACCCAAAGAAUAAGCACCGGCUAACUUCGUG
rnacentral:rRNA from 1 species